rnacentral:rRNA from 1 species
GACGAACGCUGGCGGCGUGCUUAACACAUGCAAGUCGAGCGGAGAGGCGAACGGGUGAGUAACGCGUGAGUAAUUGCCCCGCUCUUUGGGAACAACGUUGGAAACGGCUGCAAAUACCGGCUAGGGGGGGAUGACUCGCGGUCUAUCAGCUUGUUGGUGGGGGAGUGGCCUACCAGGGAGCCGACGGGGAGCCGGCCGGGGAGGUCGACGGGCGACAGUGGGCUGAGAUACGGCCCAAACUCCUACGUGGGGCAGCGGUGGGGAAUAUUUCACAAGAGGGGAAACCCUGAUGCAGCAACGCCGCGUGCGUAAUGACGGCCUUCGGGUUGUAAACCGCUUUCAGCCAUGACGCGGUAGUGGCAGAAGAAGCACCGGCUAACUACGUGCCAGCAGCCGCGGUAAUAC